CCUACGGGAGGCAGCAGUGGGGAAUAUUGCACAAUGGGGGAAACCCUGAUGCAGCAACGCCGCGUGGGUGAAGGAGCGUUUCGGCGCGUAAAGCCCUGUCAGCGGGGAAGAAGAAAGACGGUACCCGACCCAGAAGCCCCGGCUAACUACGUGCCAGCAGCCGCGGUAAUACGUAGGGGGCGAGCGCUAUCCGGAUUGAUUGGGUGUAAAGGGCGUGUAGGCGGGAGCGCAAGUCAGAUGUGAAAGCUCAGGGCUCAACCCUGAGCCUGCAUUUGAAACUGUGUUUCUUGAGUGCUGGAGAGGCAAUCGGAAUUCCGUGUGUAGCGGUGAAAUGCGUAGAUAUACGGAGGAACACCAGUGGCGAAGGCGGAUUGCUGGACAGUAACUGACGCUGAGGCGCGAAAGCGUGGGGAGCAAACAGGAUUAGAUACCCUUGUAGUC
rnacentral:rRNA from 1 species